GAAAUGCGAUAAGUAAUGUGGAUUGCAGAAUUCAGUGAAUCAUCGAAUCUUUGAACGCACCUUGCGCUCCUUGGUAUUCCUUGGAGCAUGCCUGUUUGAGUAUCAUGAAAUCUUCAAAGUAAAUCUUUUGUUAACUCAAUUGGUUUCUACUUUGGUAUUGGAGGUCUUUGCAGCUUCACACCUGCUCCUCUUUGUUCAUUAGCUGGAUCUCAGUGUUAUGCUUGGUUCCACUCGGCGUGAUAAGUUAUCUAUCGCUGAGGACACUGUAAAAGGUGGCCAAGGUAAAUGCAGAUGAACCGCUUCUAAUAGUCCAUUGACUUGGACAAUACUUUUAUGAUCUGAUCUCAAAUAAGGUAGGACUACCCGCUGAACUUAAGC
rnacentral:misc_RNA from 1 species